GGAAGAUGGGGGAGGGGGGAGGAGGAGGAGAAGGAAGAAGUAGUAGCAGUAGUUUGAAAACCACUGUCCUGUAUGACCUCACACCUGUGUCAAGGAAUUGUCGGCUUAGGUCUCUGAUUGAAAACUCUUCCUUAGGCUUAAUCACCAGGAGGUCCCUGAGUCUGACAUGUCUUCUGUCAGAGAGGCCCCACUGAGCCCGGCCUGGGGCCUGAGGAGCAUCAUAAAGCCAAAGGACCUGCUGCCCUGGGACACUCCCCAGUAUUCAGGAUCCCAGAAGUGGAAAAUAUCUUGAACAGAUAACCAGAAUGCAGCCUCUUCAGGAACAAUACAGGUUAUAGCUGGGCACAUGCACUCAGGGUGGCCCUGAAUAAAUGCUAAUGCUAUGAAACUUACUAUGUAGCUCAGAAGUUUUUAAACUCCACGAAGUAUUUUGUGGUUCAAAAGCUUCCUGCGGUGCCUU